ensembl:Y_RNA Y_RNA Y RNA
GGCUGGUCCGAUGGUAGUGGGUUAUCAGAACUUAUUAACAUUAGCGUCACUAAAGUUGGUAUACAACCCUCCACUGCUAAAUUGGACUGGCUUAAA